CUUGACGGAAUGCCGCGUCUAUAAAGCUAAUCGAUUCUUCAAAGGGUAGCUUAAAACCUCUCUAAAACUCUUUCCACCACGAACACAGUGUUAUCUAAUUAUCUAAGUGACCAUGCUGGCUGCGAGGCUAGUAUGCCUGAGGGCAUUAUCAUGCCAGACUAUCCGCCCCACCAUUACUCAGGCUUCCCCAGCUUUGAGGAGCUCCAAUAUAAAAGCAUACAGGCUGUGGCAGCCUAACCAGUGUUUUGCCA